AGGUACAUAAAGGCAAAUGACACAUGAUUGCCACCCUGACUGAAUGUACAAUCUAAUAGGAUGAACAACAGGUAUAACUUGAUAGAAUGUGAUAAGUACCUUAUAUGAUGAACAAUGAAAAAUCACAGAUGUUCUAUGAAAAAUGAUCACUCUCGCUUUAGGAAAUAAGGAAAGAAUUUUUAUACGGUUGUUGGACUUUAAUAAGGAAUAUAAGGGAGAAGGAAAGAGGAACAAACAAGCACCUUUCAGCUUCCUUCGAUGCCAUAUAAAUUUCAUUCAUCUUCUUUGGCCUUAUUUUAGCCUUUACUUAAUCUCUCAGGCAAAGAUGGAAAAUAUUAUUUCUUUGAUCUUACCUUGGGUAAUACUCUUAUAUUUCUUCCCAAAUUUCACAUAUAUUCUAUAACAUUCUACAUUUUAAUCUUUCUGAUGUUAAUAACAGUAAGCAUAUUAAUGCAUUUGUUUAUAUCAGGACAUUUGGUAUAACUAAUACAAUUCAAAUGAGCUUUACACUUAAACACUUAUAUAUGGUUUUUCAGUGUUUCAGGGCUAUAGUUGCUAUAGGAAUUAUAAAAUGUAUCCACACUUAGAAAACUGGAACACUCCAUACCUCCUUACUGCCAUAACAUGUAAAGAUGUUCCAAGAAGCAUGAGUUCAAUCUAUAAUUCUUCUUGAAAAAAGGUAAGGUGUUUGUGUUGUUGUUGUUGUUGUUGUUAAUUCAUUAAUUAUUUCUGAGGGAGACACAGAAUGCGAGCAGCGGAGGAGCGGAGGGAGAGAGAGACACAGAAUCCUAAUCAGGCUUCAAGCUGUGAGCUCUCAGCACAGAGUCUGACACAGGACUCGAACUCACGAACCAUGAGAUCAUGAGAUCAUGAGAUCAUGAGCCCAAGUCAGACGCUUAACUGACUGAGCCACCCAGGUGCCCCCAAUAAGUGGAAAGGAUAGCAAGGGAAAAAGAAUAGUCAACAACUACACAGAGUCCUAACCAGAAUGACCAGAGAUGCUAAAAACAGAAAUGAAAAGGUGCGGCCAGACGGAUGAGUCCCUUUUAAUUGCUCUGAGGAAUUAACUUUGGAAAUAACCUUCCCCCUCCCUGCCCCUCCUCCCCGCCCACGCUCCUCCUCCAAGGCGUGUCCCAUCCAGUUUGGGCAGGAAGCCGCUUUCUCUGGAACAGUCCAAGCUGGGAUGGUGUGGAGAGCCACUCCCUGAGGGCGGGAGGACCACAGCACCCGCGGCCAGGGCCUGAGGACAGAGCCUCUGAGGAUGAGGACGAGGAAGUUGAUGCGCUUGGCCGCACAGCCCCUGCAUCCCAUGGUUCUGCAGCGGAGGAGGGGAGGGGACUGUUCAAACCAAAAAUUCUCCUACCAAGAUUCAUUUAAAUACAGUUAACUUUUGACACAUUUCAAUGAAAGCCAUUCUAUGAUAAAUUCUUGGUAAGACAUAAAUUCUUACAACGACAAGAGGAUAAUUUUCUGAAGAUUAAUGGCCAAAUGACAGCAAAAUGGUUUCUGUGGUUUGAGUCACUAGGACAGAAGUAUCUAGUGUCAGAGCUGGAAAGGAACCAUUGUACACUUUAAUUCAGUACUUUCAUUUUUACACGUUAAGAAAACUGAAGUCUAGAGAGGCUUAACCAUGAACCUGCAGUUGCUCAGGACCAAUUCCACCAAGGCAGGUCUCCUCCAUGUGAUGUCAGUAUUCUUUUCAUUCAUCGGUGAACUGUACAGAUGGAUUUUGGAUUUGGAAUAUCCUAAAUAGAUUGUGCCACUACAUAUAACUGGUUCAGCUUUUUAAGUUCACUUAUUCAAUUAAAACUUAAAAUAAAUGUGUGUAUUUACUAGUUGUCCCACAUCAAAUAAAGUUAAC